rnacentral:rRNA from 1 species
CGCAUCUGUGCAUGCAGCAUAUCAAUAAGCGGAGGAAAAGAAACUAACAAGGAUUCCCCUAGUAACGGCGAGUGAAGCGGGAAGAGCUCAAAUUUGAAAUCUUAAAGGGUUUCCCUUUACGAAUUGUAGUUUAAAGAAGUGUCUUCUGUUGAGGUUUUGGUAAAAGUUCUUUGGAAUAGGACAUCAUAGAGGGUGAGAAUCCCGUAUUCGACCUUUACUUUCAACUUUGUGAUACACUUUCAAAGAGUCGGAUUGUUUGGGAAUGCAGUCCAAAAUGGGUGGUAAAUUUCAUCUAAAGCUAAAUAUUGGCGAGAGACCGAUAGCGAACAAGUACCGUGAGGGAAAGAUGAAAAGAACUUUGAAAAGAGAGUUAAACAGUACGUGAAAUUGUCAAAAGGGAAGCGUUUGACACCAGUGUUGUUUUUCUGGAAAUCAAUUAAAGAACUGUUUAUGCUAAGCUGUUUAGACUUUAUCAGCUAACUGUUUAGUUUUGAGCUUUUCUUUAAUGCACUUUUCAGUUAACAAGUCAACAUCAAUUUCUUUUGCUGUAAAAAAGCUUGAGGAAGGUGGCUUGAGAUUCGUCUUAAGUGUUUAUAGCCUCUUGCCUAUGCAGUCGGAGAGAUUGAGGUCUGCAGCGUAGAUCCUUCGGGGCUAAAUGCAUUUGUGCUAAGUUAUAGCAUUUCAUAGACAACUUGUUGACUAUGAUUUGUCUUGUAGCUUACUCGCUUAUGUUAUUUUACCUACGCUUAGGAUGUUGACAGCAGUAUAGACUGU